rnacentral:rRNA from 1 species
UAGUGGCGGACGGGUGAGUAACACGUGGGUAAUCUGCCUUAAGUGGGGACAACAGUUGGAAACGACUGCUAACACCGAAUGUGAUACAGAAAUGAUUUUUCUGUAUUGAAAGGCGCCUUUAAAGCGUCGCUUAAAGAUGAGCCUGCGGCGUAUUAGUUUGUUGGUGGGGUAACGGCCUACCAAGACGACGAUGCGUAGCCGAACUGAGAGGUUCGAUCGGCCACAUUGGGACUGAGACACGGCCCAAACGUCCUACGGGAGACAGCAGUUAGGAAUAUUCGUCAAUGGGGGAAACCCUGAACGAGCAAUGCCGCGUGAGUGAUGACGGUCCUUUUCGGAUUGUAAAACUCUGUUGUAUGGGAAGAACACAUAGUAUAGGAAAUGAUACUAUGCUGACGGUACCAUACCAGAAAGCCCCGGCUAACUACGUGCCAGCAGCUGC